rnacentral:rRNA from 1 species
UACAGAGGUGGCAAGCGUUGUCCGGAAUUAUUGGGCGUAAAGAGCUCGUAGGCGGUUUGUCGCGUCUGCUGUGAAAACCCGAGGCUCAACCUCGGGCCUGCAGUGGGUACGGGCAGACUAGAGUGGCGGUAGGGGAGAUUGGAAUUCCUGGUGUAGCGGUGGAAUGCGCAGAUAUCAGGAGGAACACCGGUGGCGAAGGCGGGUCUCUGGGCCGAUACUGACGCUGAGGAGCGAAAGCGUGGGGAGCAAACAGG